CUCUUCAGCUACCACCCCUCCUGGGCUUUGUUCUGUUCAUGCCCGACUGCUUUCUCCAAGGUCCUUCAUCAAGAUUUGAACCGCAAGGUGCACUUAUACGAUGGACGGAAUUCCAAGGAGCUUGUCUCUCUGUGUUGGCUCAUUUGAACACAAACUAGCUCCUGUUUCAGAAGCUUGCCUGUCUUUACUGGAUUUUGAGAUAGCGGUAUUAACCUCCCUGCAUUGACAGCGUCUGUUCCUUCGCAUUUAAAUCCCACCAUCCGAAGCCACAUGUGCCUUCAGAAAGCUGGCUGAACAGAUGCCUAACAGUCAUCAUGAAAGAGCUGUUCUUGCCUGCACUUUUCUGUCUUUCAUUGUGAAGGAGAAGAGUGGAUUCAACAAGAGUGCUUUGCCUUUAUUGUUUGGGUUUAUCACGCAGACCUCUCAUACCUGAGAGGUGGUGGCAGGUUCAGAGAUUUCAGACGCUCUCCACCAGCACAGCACAGAAUUGUAGAGCUGGAAGCAAGACGGGCUUCGGGACGUGCAGCCUGUGUGGUGGCACAUGGCUCAGCGCUUACAAGGACCCCAUGCUUGCCUAAAUGUUCUGCUGUUGCAUCUUGAAAUUCUUCAUUUUUGAACAUGGGGAUCCAAAUUUUCAUCUACUAAAGGCUAAGAAGGGCUUCCCUUGUGGCUCAGCUGGUAAAGAAUCUGCCUGCAAUGUGGGAGACCUGGGUUCGAUCCCUGGGUUGGGAAGAUCCCCUGGAGAAGGGAAAGGCUACCCACUCCAGUAUUCUGGCCUGAAGAAUUCCAUGGACUGUAUAGUCCAUGGGGUCGCAAAGAGUCGGACACGGCUGAGCGACUUUCAAGGCAAGAAGAAUAAUAGGGCAUGAGGCACACACCAUCACUUUCUUGGGUAGAUGUCUCAACUGAAGAAAAAUGCAUAACCUACAAGUCGUGACUUAUCUUUUAUUCAAGGAACUUAACAAGGACUAUAGCCUGGAAGACAGCCUCUCAGCACUGAGCAAUUAUUCUCAUGAGGAAAGGGAGGAGCCAGGAUACAAAGG
ensembl:lncRNA